AUCAACUCCACCAGUGCUGACAACCUUGUGCAUAUCCACCUAGGUCACCCAGGCAUGCUGAGCUAAAUCUUGGCAGAACACCUUGUGCUCUUCUUGAAACAUGGGAGCAUAGGAGGCUGAGUAAACAUGUAGAAGUGGAAUUACUGGAUCAUGUGGGCUUUUGCUGUCAUGUCUAAAAAUAACACAAGGCAUUUUGUCAUCAAUGGUAAACUAACACAGAACUCAUGAGAAUAUACACAAGACAGGUAUACCCCUCUCCA